AAAAAGUCACACAAUCAGCUUUAAUGCAGAGCUGUUGACUGUCACGCCUUCCAUUUUGAAACCAGUACCUCUUUGGACCGGAAAGCAGGUCAUCACGGCAGUGUUAACCAAAGGAGGUCAUCCCCCGUUCAGCGUAGAGAAAUAUACAAAACUUCCGGUUGACUUCUUCAAAUGUAGAUCAAUAGAAGCUAAAUCUAAAAGUGGAGAAUCCAACAAAAAGACCAAGAAGCAUGAUGUUAACGAAGAUAAACUGCUCAUCAGAAAAAAAAUGAAUUUGUCCGCGGUGUGAUUGUAUGAAGCAUGGAAAUUGUAGUUUACCAAAUAAUCUAAUCACAGACUACUGUCUUUCCUGCAGAUCCUCAGGACAUGAAAUCCAGAAUCGAGCGAGUUCUGUAUGAGGAUGGCGAACCUGCUUUGGCAUCUUUGGACAGGAGCGUCGUUAGUGAGCUCAACCAGCGUUCAAGCAAGGGGGUGAUGAACGAUUUGCUCUCUGAUGGGUUGUUGAAAACACCCGGAACGAAAAGACAGAACCUCUUGUUACCAAAAUGAGAUGAAGAAGCAGUUUACCAAAAGACAGAACCUCUUGUUAUAUUUACUUUUUCAAUGGAGCCUCUAUUGCAGCAAGUAAUUUUUCAUCAGUUCUUUCUCAUGUUAUCUACGUUGUGCAGGUUAAUUUCCAGCUAAUUUCUUCUCACCUUGGCCAGCAAUAUUUAGAAGGAAUGGUUUCUUGGAAGACAGACAUUACCUUGCUUCCAUUCCAUCCAUGGGAGCUGGAGGUUUUAUUAGUGAUAGAUUCCUUAGCGGUCUUCGCCCCCAAGAAUACUACUUUCAUUGUAUGGCUGGACGAGAAGGGUUAGUUGAUACUGCAGUGAAGACAUCACGUAGUGGAUAUCUGCAGAGAUGGUUGAUGAAAAAUCUCGAGAGCCUGAAAGUCAACUAUGAUUGUACAAUACGGGAUGCUGAUGGGUCCAUCAUUCAGUUCCAAUAUGGUGAAGAUGGCGUCGAUGUUCAUCGGUCUAGCUUCAUUCAAAAGUUCAAAGAAAUGACAAUAAAUAAAGAUAUGUAACUUCAAAAGAUUUAGCGAAGCAUGCUAUCUGGAUCCAGUACUGAUCUUCCUAUUACUCUUAAGGAAGGAGCUGAGAAGUUUGCGGAGGCAAUGCCUUGCUGAAGGGCAAAACCAAGGAUGAUGCAAGUCAAAUUACUGAUAGGUUGAGGAAAGAUUACGGUAGCAGAUAUUAUAAAGAUAUAGAAGUGUUCGUUAUACCAUUUGCAGUUCAUGGGGGUGAAGUUUGUAGUAUUCACAAGCUUAAGAUAAAUCUCUACAAAAAAUCACACAGAUAUUAAUGAAGAAGACUGGGAAGAAAUAUGACUGUUACGUUUUUGAGGAAGUUGGAAGACGCUAUAGAGACUCACAUAAAAAUGCUCUAUAGAAUCAGAUGCAUAAAGGUUGAGAAAGACAAGGGUCCAAAAUCUGGAAAUGAAACGGAUAAGGAUGAUUCUGACAGUGGAGAGGUGAUGAUGACGAGGGCGAGGAUACA